GGCUGGGCUUUCGGGGCGCCGGAGCGGGCCAGGUGUGUGGGUAGUGGGUCAGCAGGCUUCAACCUACCGGUUUCGACCCCCUCGGCCCCAGAUACUCGGUAAAGGGACCACCGGUUUCCCCUAAGGAGAUCCCGGACUCUCCUUGUAGCUCUGUGGUCUGGGGAACCCCAGAAAUAGGCCCUGGCCUCUGGGCGGCGGGUCCUGAACACUCAUAAGAACGCAGUAUGGGUGUAUGGAGACAGCAGGUGGCUGUCAGUGAAAAACCGGACCUGGACUGUGGUUAAAGCUCUCAAAAGAGAUUUAUGAGGACUGUUAUAAUAGAGGACAAGAGAGAUGACAGUGUAAAACCCCACUCAAUCUCAAAUACCUGGGGAAUUUACAGCCGGGGCAGAUGGGGUUUGAUGGAGGUUUAGAGUAGAUUGGGGGUGGAGGCCUCACAGGACCAGAAGCAGGUGGGGGUAGAUAUAAUUAACAUCGCCAGUGAACCAGCCAUGGAAAUGAAAAAUCCUUAAGUGCUGCCUGGAGGUGAAGAGACGGAAAUUGUCAGUCAUUAUAAAGGACUGCUACAGAAAAUAUCAGUAGGCAGAAAAUAUCAGUAGGCAGAGGUGGGGAUAUGGAGAAAAUCUCUGGUCCUUAUAAAUUAACCCACUUACCCCCUAGAAGUGAUUAAUUUAACAAUAGAUAUAAAGUUCACAAAGGAAUGAACUCCUCCCCCCAAAAAGAACUAUAUAAGAACAAUUCCUUCCCUGGUAAAAUGCAGCUUUUGUCCCAAAAUUGCCUUCUUGCGUCUAUGCAGGCAUCUCUUUCAACAAACCUGUUCCUUUCAAAUGCAGCUCUUUCUGCUUGCCUGUGUCUAUGCAAACGUCCUCAUCUCCUUUGCAAACUUGCUGUGUGCUGCUGAAAGGGAAACUGGAACCUUUUCUCAGGUAACCCAAGGACCCCAUUCAUCUGAACCCAACAUCUCAUCAGAACCCCAUCAUGGUCAGUGGAUGGGAAACUACUAAGGAAACUUCAGGACUGACUGGGGUUCUGGCUAAACCAACCGAACAGGAUUCUCGCUGAAGGGCAGUUUCUGUCUGCUUUGUCACCCAGGCCCUGGGCUUCAUCUCAGAUUUGCUCCAGGACCACAGGCUCCCUCUGGCCUCCGGACCCUGCUGUCUCUUCCUUGCCCCGCUCAACCCAGCCCUGCCACCCUCAGUUCGCAACCUCUGGUCUUUGAAGCUUUUCUAUUUUCUCCUCAGGUGUUCAGGAAACUUGCUUGAUCUGGUGGGGGCUCAUGGAGGUUCUGGGGUCCUACAGACGUGGUCCCAGGUCCGGCACUGCCUUCAACUUGCAAGGAUGCUAGCUCUCCAACAGCGCACCCUCCCUGUGGGCACCGAGUCUACACAACCCCUUAUCCAGCUCAGUGCCAGGUCUCAGGAGUCCCGGAUACUGCCGUGUGCUGAGGGAGUGCGGGUAGGAUGAGUCACAGGAGGGAGCCUGAGGAAUGGGGCCUGGAUUCUGGGUCACUGGCCUUUAACACCACAGGAAAGCAACCCAGCCUUCAAAACUCAAAGGGGUGUGAGCCCCCUUUUGGUCAGUUUUCCCAAACCUGCCCUACCCACUCCACCUCUGCCUUCUAGGGAAAGGUGGCUUUGGGAACCCGAGACUCAAUUGGCCAACACAGAUGGGAGGGCCUGUCUGUCUGUCCCUCUUGCCUUCAUUCAGACUGCAGACAUUGGUUGGUCAUUGACAGUGGCCCUGUGCCAGGUCUCAGGAGUCUGUCAGGGACACAGACCUGACAACUUGGGAUAUCUGAGGGCAGGUGCCCACAGAGAAGGGUCCCAUGCUCAACUGCUCUCUUCAAUGCACCAUGUCACCCCACCCUCAUAAUGCAUACUCCUAAUAGUAACUUGGACAAUUCAGAAAAAUAAAAGAAAGCAAA